AGCAGCCGCGGUAAUUCCAGCUCCAAUAGCGUAUAUUAAAGUUGUUGCAGUUAAAAAGCUCGUAGUUGAAUUUCGAGACCGGUUUACUGGUCGUGCUUUUGUACGUACUGGUAUUAUUGGUUUCUCCUUUCUGACGAAUCAUAAUGCCAUUAAUUUGGUGUUUUGGGGAAUCAGGACUGUUACUUUGAAAAAAUUAGAGUGUUUAAAGCAGGCUCACGCUUGAAUACAUUAGCAUGGAAUAACGAAAUAGGACGUUUGAUUUUAUUUUGUUGGUUUCUAGGAUCGACGUAAUGAUUAAUAGGGAUAGUUGGGGGCAUUAGUAUUCAAUUGUCAGAGGUGAAAUUCUUGGAUUUAUUGAAGACUAACUACUGCGAAAGCAUUUGCCAAGGAUGUUUUCAUUAAUCAAGAACGAAAGUUAGGGGAUCGAAGACGAUCAGAUACCGUCGUAGUCUUAAACCAUAAAACUAUGCC
rnacentral:rRNA from 1 species